AUGCUCCACCGCUCUACUCUAUAGUCUAGCCCUUGCAAAAUUUGUUUAAGAACCAAUUUCCAAAUUUCAAUCAAUCUCACUUGGGUCGAAAACAACAAAAGUGCCCAAGAACCUUACUUUCUCUCAUACAAUUGUAGAAGAGCCAACAAAGUCACAUUGAGAAAUAAGCGCAGCCCUAUAUCUGGCAAGGUUUAUGAGUCAUGGGUGUUCUCAAUAUCAGCAAGAAGUUGAGGUGGCUCUAAGUAGGGUUGUGCUCCUAUCCCUCAACUUUGGGGAUCGUAAUAUUCAUACUUAUGAUGCUACCUCGAAGACGACAUGAUACAAUGGUGUGGCAUCCCCUUUAGCAUGACUGUUUGAAGCUGGGAAACGUGGUUGCUUCAGUUGGCAAUGGUUGUUGGGUGGGAUUAGGUACUCUGGCUAGAUAUAUUAAUGGUGAUGAUGUGAUUAGUGCUGCAAGGAUGAUGAAUGAUCGUAAUAUUCAUACUUAUGAUGCUACCUCGAAGACGACAUAAUACAAUGGUGUGGCAUCCCCUUUAGCAUGACUGUUUGAAGCUGGGAAACGUGGUUGCUUCAGUUGGCAAUGAUUGUUGGGUGGGAUUAGGUACUCUGGCUAGAUAUAUUAAUGGUGAUGAUGUGAUUAGUGCUGCAAGGAUGAUGAAUGCUCGUUGGCCAGCAAAUGUGGCAGAGUACAAAGGAGCAAUGAUAAACAUGUAACGAGUAGAUACAUCUAAUAAAAUUUGUGUAUAUAGCAAAUCGUGUUUGUGUAUAUGUCAAAGACUGUGUGUGUAUAAACAAAUAGUGUUUGUGUUUGUAAAGUAGCAAAAUAAGGGAAAAACAACACAUACAAUAUAUGUUUAUACACAAACACAAUUUGUUAUAUACACAGACACUAUUUGUUACAUACACAAAUUUUCUUAGAUGCAUCUCUUGUUAGACGUUUAUCAUUCUUCGAGUAAAAAGCUGCUUUACUUGAUUUGAAGCUGGCUUAUAAGUUCUAUCUGGCUACAGCCUUGCUUGCAAUCAAAUUGCUAGGUUCUUGUGUCAUGCUUAAGUAGAAAUAUGUUCUUUAUUGAUCUUGAUUUUGCUCUUUUAAAUUCUCCUUCUAGGAGUCUUUCUUUCUUGAAGGGUUCUUACGUUGAAGGUGUUGACAAUGUGGAUGUACAUCACCUUGCCAGUUUAGAGGAUGUUGGGUAUACUAGUGCCUUCCAAAGGUUCUCACGAACGAAUAAUGUGGAUUGAAGGCAGUAGUAAUGCGUGGUCUAAAACAAAAACUUAGUCUACACUUUGCUUACUUCCAAGUUCCAGCAUACAAAGUAGAGUCCAUCGUGGGUAUAAUAUGUUACACCACAACUUAUUGUGUAACAAUAAUUCACAUUUGCGAACUAAUAUAAUUCUUCCAUGUCUUAUACAACUAUUUCAUGUUAUUAUUGUUCUGUUUCAUAUC